CAGCAUAACCCUACCCAUCUUCUCUGCAGCCCACACCCAUCGCGUUUCCUCCCUGGGCGUCUCCGCUUCUCCGUCGGCGUCUCCGACUCUCUGCCUCGGCGUACUCAUUUUCUCUCUCUAUCUCGCAGCCUCUCCCCUCCCUCGGCGUCUCCGCUUCUCCCUCGGCGUCUCCGACUCUCUGCCUCGGCGUACUCAUCUUCUCUCUCUAUCUCGCAGCCUCCCCGGUUACGGUUGUCCACCAAGGCGCCUUCGGCUCUCUGCCCUCAGCGCUUUCAAGUUCGAAGCUCCUCUCUCAUCACACCUCUGUGGCAAUCCAUCGAACAGGUGGUGUGUUUGAACCGAUUUAUUUAUGGCAGAACCACCCAUGGCAAACAUUGAAUGGCAAACAUUGAAGACUUGUUAGAUAUUCUAAAUUGGAAUGGUUUGGCUGGAUGGGUCGGAGCUAUAUUUAAUUUAGGACUUACAGUUCGUAUAGAACAUCACAUUGAUGAGUGUAGAGCUCAAGGAAUAAUGAAUGGUAAUAUACUUUGUACUAUAUUGCGAAUUGGGGAGGAAUACUUCAACUUGGUCUCCCACUUUUUUCAAAGUAACAAUCCCCAUUCGCUUAAAGUAUAUUAUCUAAGUCGAAGACAGAAUUCUCAUUUUCUGGCCAUUACCGAGAGAAGUGUUAUGUCGUUCAAUGAUUGGAUGAAUGAACAUCCUAUCCUAAUAAACGGCAAUCUUCUUCAUACGGAUAACUUUCUAUAUCCGUUCAGAUCUCUUUUGAAGAGUGUUCUUCAUGUUCUGGAAAUAUAUCCUGAUUUCUUAUUACAUGCGAAUGCUGUAUAUAUUACGGGGAAUCAAAAUGGUGAGCGACAUUUCAAGAUUGCCAUUAUUGAAGGAAGUAAUAGAGUUGCGAGACGUCCACUAUCUUGUGCAAAUGAUUUGGCCAAUUUGGUUAGACACUGGCUUGCUGAACAUAGACAGGGACAGGGACAUCGCGACCUCGAUUUUCUAUUAUACAUGCUAUCCCAUUUAGAUAUAGUUGAAAAAUUAAAAAUGAUCUUAAAAUAUCCCAUUUUCUAUGUGGGCAACCAGAAAGAGUUAUUAUUCCAUUUCGCGAUCAAAGCAGAUUUGCUGUUAGGCCAUGAUAAAAAUAGGAUGGUCAGUGCAUCUCUCGAAUGGGCUUUGCAUAAGAUGGGAGUUACAGCACCUAAUGGACAACGCCUUUAUGCCAAUAGUAUAUGCUGGGAUCGUUCGAGAGCUAUUCCCGAAAUAGUAACUUGUUGGCGGAAAGCACAUGGGCCUAUUAGUUAUGAAGUGCAACAUCUGAUUAUGCAAAUACGAAAUAUAGGAUCACAUAUUUUCGACCGUAUGACUCUUUCUCAAAGAACUGUAACUCACGAAGAGCUCUACGAUAACAUAGAGCUUAUGUGCCCAGGCAGUUGGGCAGCAAUGUUUUACGCAGUUAUGGAAUCGAAUUUAAUGCGACCAUAUUUUGUAUCAGAUGAAGAAAAUCUUUAGGAUCCACUUAUAAGAGGUGGGUUGAAAUGCUGCUGCUGAGUGUGUGUAAUGGAACUGGUUGUUGCUGUUAUUCACAGGGAGUGGGCCCUAUGUUGUUAUUGAUAACAGAUCUAAAUCCAAUAUAGAUGCUAAAGGCACUUCAAGUGAUGAAGAUUCAAAUGAUAGUGAUUCUGAUGACCCAUCAAGAUCCAAUGAUCCUGAUUCUGGCAACAAUGAUGAUUCGUCCACGAACAGACUGAGAAGAUAGGAGACGGUACUCAUCCAUGUUCCACUUUAUUUAUUGCCAAUCUCGGGCCCAACUGUACUGAAGAUGAACUUAGGCAAAUUCUUUCACAGUACCCUGGAUUCAACACCCUGAAGGUUCGUGCAAGAGGUGGAAUGCCAGUUGCUUUUGCUGAUUUUGAGGUACACUACAAGAAAUUCCAGCUUGGGACUAAUAUUCAAUCUUUUUGUAUUGUCUCUGUCCCUCCAGCAAUUGAAGACCAAGACAGGGUGGAGAGCACAACUAAAAGGGAGAGAAGUGGGGAUGAAACCGUGCAUAAGGCCAAGUUCCUCCGUUCUUUAUGAGUGGUGUGUUGUUUGAUGUGGGCAUGGCCAUGCUUGGUGCCUUGGACGACCAUCUUUUUAAUUCAGCUUUAGUUGUGAAUGGCCAGAAGUUUACUUUUUUGGGUUUAUGUACAUAUUCAUAAGCUUUUUUAUUGAACCAUGAAUUUGUAGUUAUAUGCCUUGGCACAGAAAAUUAACUGCCAACUAUUGUUUUGUUUCUACCUUUUACAACACAAGGUAAAUUAUAUGAGGGAUGAAUCUGUUCUGGAGCUUAUGGAAUGCUAAAAAGUUAAUUUAGCUGUUUAUUAUGUAUAGAGAAAUGGUCCAUAUUUACUCUUAACAGUAUAUUAUAUUUUACAUAUAUGUACUAAUUGCCCCAUCUAUAUGUGGAUGCAUUGAUCUGAUCUAUUCCAAUGAUAUUAAUUUUCUAGUCUUAGGAAAUUUAGAUUUUAUUGACACUAUGAAUUUGGCACUGAUGAUGGAGUCCAGAAGCAACAUGAGAAAGCCCCUGUUUUCCCUUUAGUAUCUAAGGAGGAGGAAACGGAUGAAGAAGAGUUGAGAGAGCUGGUUCUAGUUUUGUUAAAUUUGCAGAAGAUGGAUAUGAAAAGAAAGGAUCAAUUCAAGAGGACAUAUCUACCUACUAUAUGGAAAGUCAAAUGCAUAGUAUAUGUUUUUCCGAUAAUAAUUUUUUGAAAAAUAGUUUUUGCAUAAUCACGUUUCUUAGCAAUAACUUUUCUUCCAUUUUUCCCUUCAGGUUUCUCACUUUCUUGUGUGCUCUGCUAUUUUCAACUUUCUAGUUAUGCAAUUUGAUUGUGAACUGUAGGUUGGUUGCGAAAGGCAUUCAGCUUUCUGCCUUAUGCAGAAAUAUGUGGACUUGCGAGUUCUGGGAAUGAAGCUCCAAAUAAUCUCCGCUUUUGCUCUUGAUCAUGUGAAAGGCUUUGUUUAUAUUGAAGCAGGUAAACAGUGUGAUGUUAACGAGGCGCUUUUCCUAUUCUUCCUGAUAUUAUUUCUCUACAGUUUUUUGAUUGAUGAUUAUUAGUGAAUGGAUGCUUAUUGAUUUUCAUAAGUGUUCUGUGCUGGUUCUAUUUUGUAAGUCAAGGAACCAUUUGUGUGCAGGCUUGAAAAGGGCUCUGCAGUAUAUAUUUUCAUAAGUCACAGUGAAGCUGAUUCCAAGAAUAGACUUGCAAGCACUGGCUGUGAAAUUUGUAAUAAACUGUUUUUUCCUCAUAAACGCCUGUUUUAUUCCUUAUUGCUUGCUUAGAGAGAUAUUGAGUAGCUAAUUACAUAUGCUUUGGGAUUUCUAGCAUCCUUUGAAUGUAACUUUGCUGCUAAGAAUCCAUUGAUCUCUGUAAUAGGUAGACGAGUAUUGGAGCUCAAAGGUUAUUUCAGUAAUUGAAAGCCAUACAAUAUGCAAUAUUAAUAGGCUUAUAGUGCCAAUACAUUAUAAUAUUUGUAUUUGCAAUUUAAACUUCAUGGUUGUUGAUCUUAUCAGAUGUGUGUGUUUAUUUUUAAUACACAUUUAUAAGGUGGAGGAGUUGUUGCCAAGAAGGCUUCCGUCCCAUCACCAAGGCUAAUCCCCGCUCUACUGAGCUUCAUGAUUUUCGUCUUCUCAUCACAUACCGCAAGGAUUGUGAGACAAACCAGAUGGCUGAAGUUCUUGAUGCUAACAGUUGUGCCUUGUGCGGAUCUAUCAACCUUGCCAGGAUAGACGAGGGAUUGUUAAGCAAAUCUACAAAGUUGUCAUCUUUUUGUACGAUGAGAUGGCUGAGGAACAUAACCCGUAUGUCCGUGUUAAAGCUCCGAUGUGUGAAAGAAUUUCCCGUAGCCAUGGUUUAUUGUCUGGGAAGGAAAGUGAGGCCGGGCGGGCCAUCUUCAGGUUUUGCUGAAACCCCAUUGUCACCUAAGAAACCUUGCAGAGAGAGAUGGUUUCUCGUAGAGAUAAAGAUGGACUCUUCUCUGUUGGUCAAGCAGUCAGAAUACGUGUUGGUCCUUUGAAGUGAUAUAUCUGCCGUGUCUUGGCUUAGUGUUGACCCAGAGGCUGCAAAACCAUUUGAUCUACUUGGAGCAUAGGAUGGCUCAAGAGCUGCUCAGCUUAGUGCAAAACGUGUUAUAAGAAGGAUGAUAAAUCUUCAUGGGCAAUGUAGAACUUGUUACAUAUUAUGUAGCAUGCAUUUUUGACUGUUAGUGUUUAUUUCCCAUGGACUUGCAGUGGAUUCUUAUUAGAGCCUAAGGGUUUAUUCGUGAGGAAUCUAGGAAGACUUUAAUGGAUUUGAAGUUGAUGGAGAA